rnacentral:pre_miRNA from 2 species
AUGGUACUUCUUCCAUCUGAAAAUACUUAUCCUAAAUAUAGAUGUAUCUAGAUUUAUUUUAUUUAUAGAUAUAUCUAUUUUAUAUAUUUUUAGGACAAGUAUUUCCGAACGGAGAAAGUACGAC